AGUGAGCACGCGCCUCUCCUCGGACCCGCCAUAGUCGAACGAAGACAGCAUACGUUCUCGUCCUUUCCUCUUUCGACCUGUGUGAAAAUAACGCGCGCUUUUGUCCACGAACGGUGUGUUGUCUUCCUAUCCACGCAGCGUACGGCCUGCUGUAACGUUGGAGAGUAUUACCUGUGCAUCUCGAAGAUGUUGACUGCAAACGAGACACCUUACACCUCCACGUCCACGGCCACCCUCAUCUUACGCGAUGAAAUCUUAUUCUUAACCAGAACGACCACCCUGCUCUACGGAAGGCUCGAAGGAAGGCGACUGUAUCGAAACAUCAACAAGAGUCAUCCGUGUUUAUGUCCCUUACGCUUGAACUUGAGGUGUUCCAAAUCGUUUCAGUCUUAUCGCGUUCGUCGCGCAGUACACACGGAACUGCUAAUAGUUUACCGAUGUGAUUUUAUAAUUCGCGUGUUCGUAUGUGUAAUCGCGUGUGAUAUAAAGAACAAAGGUGAGUGAACCUGAGGUCCAUCGAGGGUCAAUCGCAAGGUGCAGUGUGGUCAUCAGGGUGUAACUCAACGAUCGAUGCUGCGUUUUUUCAAUACCUGUCUUCCCUUCGAUGAUCGUCCUCGCAAUAUUCUUCCCGUGUUACACAGCAGACAAUCGGGAAAAGGUCCAUCGAGCACGCCAUUAUGAUAGUUCAAUUACGAGAUAUUGCCUCUUGGGUUUGAAGUGUUUGAGGAGUGCUGGCCACGGUGGUGGUUCAAUAGGCACUCGAGGAAAGCUGAAGACCCUUUCCACUGUUCGAGUUCUGUCCGAUCGUGUUCCAUGGUAACAACGUAACCCAGUUAACGAGAACGAAGGAGACCGGUUUUCAACGUGCAAGAAAGUGGAAAACAUUAAUAUGGAAAUUGCGUGAGUUGCGACGAAGUUUUUUCUUUGUGCGAGAAAAUCAUUUUUCAAGUGAGUAUUAUUUUUUUAUAAUUAAAUGCUCGGCUACGUACCGGAUUAAAGGCUUUGUUCUUUGUGAGAUAAUCACUUUGAAAAGGUACGUGGCCGCUUCCAGUUAUCUGCAGGCUUCUGGCAACGGUUCUUCCGGGAACAGAAAUUUUAAUUAGUAGGUAGACGUCUUUACAUCCAAGCAACCGGGCGGACUAUUAAUUUCCCUCUCGCCCUCCCUUCAAACCCCAUAGUCGUUUAACCUUUCGUUCUCGACAAACAACCUGUCUUUCCUUCGAUCUCGUUCUCGCCAACCUUCACUGUCCAAUGCGCUAAUUGUUUCAUUAUUUUUUAACAUUCAAAGACAUAAGUUUUUUAUUCGUAUCCCCUGUAAAUCACAAACAAUUCACCUUCGGAUCGAAGUUUCCUAUUAACUCUUUUCUUCAAAAUUGAGGUGAACAAUAUUUUACGAAUCAUUUUCCAUUUUCCCAUUUUAUCGUCCCCUUUCUUCGUCCCCUUGCUCUAAGAAAGAUCGAUCCGAAUAUUCUAUAGAAUCCUCUAUAUCCGUCGACGGUAAACUACUUUCGACUCUUUUUGCCCUGCUGAAAGAAGAAACUGCCUUUCUAAGGAGCCGGAGCAGUCCGGGAUGCCGCAUUCAAACCGUCGAAUAUAUACUGCCGGCUCUUUGAACAUCGGGAAAACUAACGAGAGGGCAUUCCAGGACUCGGCUUUAAGGAAGUUUAUUUUCUUAAUUCGAGACCCGCGCCUGUACAUCAGUGCGGCGCGUUGCGGCGCACCGCGUCGAGUCGCGAGCCACCAUUCAAAAGCUUCAUUAGGGGAAGUCGCGGAUUCUAGAGGCCAUUCACUGAAUCGCGAGCUGAACUCGCGUGACCUUACGCUAUUCUGCGCCCACCCCGAGUAUCGGUGUCCUUUUUACGAUCUCCUUUAACAAGCUGCCUCUUGACCGCGCUCGGUACUCUCGUUACAGUUAUACAAUUUUCAUUUCAAUAACGAAGCCGGUAGAUAAAGUUGAGCUUACGAACUUUUCCAGAAAAUCUACAAUAUUUUGAAAGACGAUUUGUCAGCGCGUUCGAAACAGCGAUAUAACAAACGUGCGGUUAAUUGAACGUUCACCUUAUCGAACCACCCCAUGCUUAAUGUUAAUGAGACAGUGUGAUUGGUCGAGUGUGCGAACGCACGCGUACAUAGAGGGAAGAGAGUACAGGGAGAGACGUAACUAGCCGAAGGCUGUUAACCUCCUCAUUUGCAACGCUUUGAUCCAACCCUACUUUCCAACGAUGGCUUGGAUGCAACGUAUUCCCCCUGUUCCGUGUCUGGUAACCGAUUCCGAACAGAUCGAUCGAUCCUCGAAAUGCAUCCCUGUUUCACGGUGACCGAUGUCACCGGCUGAGGUGGACCGCAACGCGAUAUAAAACGGUACGGUCAAACUGGAUUGAUUUGCAUAAAUAAUUGCGCACAUAUCAUCAAGACACGGGCGAAACUGGUUAAUUAGUACGCCGUUACGCGGGAAUAUAGCUACGUCAAGGGGAUUACCGGCGACGUAUACGUAUACCGUUGGCUUUACAUCGAUCCACCCUGAACGGAUCAGCUUCUCUGAGAAUGGAAAUGGAAUUAUCGUCUAAUCGAACGGGCUUAUUCGUACGAUUAUAUAUCCUAUCAUCUUUCCUGGUGCAAUUAUUUAUUUACAAAAUAUUGCUAUCAAAAAUGAUUUAAAGUAACUCGAAACAAUGAAAGAUAAAUUGAAAAUAGAAUUAACCUAUGCUAAAGAGAAAUUCAAUAGGAUGGUUUCGAGUUCAUUACACUAACGACCCAUCAUUGUAUUCCCAUCGAUCCUUAAGCGUUUCCGCGAUAAUCGUUUGCCAAACCGGAAACGGAAAAUCAUCGCGACCUUCGAGCUGGCGUCGAUGAAUAAAGAAGGCCAGACACGCUUCAUUAAGAGAAGCGUAUUUCACGAACAAAGUCCGGCAACCUCCGUCAGGGAGCAAGUGACAAUGCGAGCUUUGAACGGAAGUCACAAAUCACCCCGUCGGAAUAGCGAGCGGCCCGAUUCAUUUUAACGACCGUUAACCGGAGGAAUGGAGAACGCGAUGUUACACUUGGCGAUCGUUAAAACUUAACGAAAUCCUCCGCCUCUUCGCGGUGCUACGUGUAACCCUUUAUUGGAGAAUGGGCCAGUAUGCUAACAGCUGGAAAAAUUCGGGUCAGAUUAAUAUAGAGGAGACGUUGCAAUUGCGUCCUCGUUUGAUUCGACUAGAUGCAAUGAUCAUGCUCUCUUGUUAAAGAAUGGAAAAUAGAUUAGCACUUUAAUAAUUAUAAUGAAGACAGAAAAGGGCUUAAAAUAGAACAAGAAAAAUAUUGUCGUUUUAAUGAAAACAAUUUCAGUCAGGUGAUUUUCCUUUUAAAAGUUAGCCAACUCGAAGAAGUUGAUUCUGCUGUUACAGCCAGGUCAUAAAAGAUACAAAUGAAGUCUCAAGGUUCAUUUACAACGAAAAACUACGCAACUCGCCUGUAUUCGACGGGGAACGUUUCAUUUGAGGGUCGGGUUGCCACCUAGAACCCCCAAUAAAUCCUGUAAUCCGGCGUGUCACGUUAGGAAUACGAAUUUCUCGUGGCGUCGCGACGCUACGCGCUACACGAACCGUACCACCAAGAAAGAUUGCAUUUUUUUCAUAUUAGAGAGGCAGCGGGGUGAAGGCUUGACGGAAUCCCAACCUUACACGUAACGUAACGCAGACAAAUUACUCGAUUCAACCCCUAUGGCGCGCACGUGUACAGACCGUUCUAUAAUUGGCUAUACGUGUGUGAGAUGGGGUGAUUCCUCGACGGAGGAAUAAAGCGAGCAACGUUUACCUUAUUUAUGAGGCCAUUUUUGGGAUUGCUCGUUUAAAGCUGCGGUACAUGAUUUCCAGCACGCGUUCGGGUAUCGAGUAACCGAAGGAAAAUGUUUUGAAACAUUGCGAGGGACUCAUUUAAUAUAAAGAAUAAUACUGUUUCGGCGCGACAGUCGAUCUGUUAAUAAAGAAGAAAGUAAGAAAUUGCAAAGCAGACCGUGAAACGCAACUCUCCAUUUUUCUGCUGCCAUUUAAAUGCAGUCUGUAACAAAACAGUGUUCGCUCCAUAUUUAAAUGUCUCUUAGUAUACCAGCAAAGUCCAUUCGCGAUGUCUCUGGGAUCUCUCGCGUCUACUUGCGGUUCAAGCAAAUAGACAAACGAGAUAAGGGACACCGAAGCAUCGUUCUUCGAGUCGCCCGAAAUUUCUCGCCGCAUCCGGAAGCACUCCCGCUUGCAUUCCACAAUGCUAGAACGACCGCAGCAACACCAGUGGAUAGGAAUAUAAAUAAUGGAGCAGCAGGCGACGUUCAGGUUUAUUUCCCCGUCAGGGAUCACCAUCCUUUCCCUACCCACCCGCCAAUUAUGAAACACCCCAUACGUGUGCAUACACGCGAACGCAUCGUUGCCUUACCCUCCCGCCAUGUUUCUUCCUUCCCGCGACGUGUAAUACACUUUUAUGUCGCGUGCAAGAGGGGUCGCAACCCCCUUAUUCCCCAUGCGAUUCCACCGAUUUGAUACGCUUCAACCUUUGCAAUCGUUUGAGUCGUAACUUCUUCUGGCCCUUGCCAGAUUUCCUCCCUCUAUCUACUAGUCAGAAAUCUCUUCGCACGGGAAAGAAAAUUUCUCGUUUCACCCUUACGCGAUAGACAACAUUCAUGAUUUCACGGAGGAAUUUAUUUACGAGUUUUUGGUGUAAUUUUUCAAUUCGAGCUUAAUUCGAAAUAUUAAUAGCAAGUUUAAAAAGAAAAUCAUCUCGCCAAGUGAUGUUAAGUCGUGAAUCCUAAUAAAUAAAGUUGCUCAUUAACAUGACUUUUAGCCUACUCGAGUAAAAUCCAGAAUUUAACGCGGCAGAAGGUACAACCGUAGGGUGCUGUCGCGAUGACCCAAUUACCGCACUCGUAAAGUGCAACGGGGCGGCACGUGAGCCACAUGAAAGCGGUGAACAACCGGAAACUUUGUUAGUCUCGCAGUCUUUCGACACGUUAAGAGGCUGCGCACGAGCCACGAUACCCGGGCUGGGCCGACUUUCGUAAUUAGUUAAGCCGCCUCUUAACGCACCGACGAAGCCCCGAGAUAUUUCCUCGCGAAAACAAUUAUUUCCGCGUGGCAGUCGAUUCGCGAAUCCCCGGCAACCGUUUGCCAACGACUGAGAAAAGAAGAACAAACCACGUUUAACAGCAAUCGGCGGGCUCCGAUGAACGAAAAUACCGUACGCGCACGUGUACCAACGAAAAUUUAAUUAAAUCCAACGGUAAGGUUUCGGCGUUUCGGUAUUCGAAUCCGAUCCGUUUAAUCCGAUCGAGCAAGCAAAUCGGUUACCUAAGUAAUUUCAUCGAUAUGGAGCAACGAAACGGACGUUUAACCGAGCUCGAUAAAUUUUCAGCUUCGCUUUCUCCUUCUCCUUUACACUUUAUCUCCCCUCUUUCGUUGGAUGUCGAAUUUUUGGUGAAAUUAGGUGUUGUAGGGUGAUACUUAUUAUCAAAUGGAUAUAGAGAGAUGAAAAAGGAAUGAAAAUCUACUUUCCACAAAAUUACAGUUAUCGUAGUAACAUGGCCAUUUUCAAUUCCGUUCGAUCGACUGGCCAAGGGAUACGAAACUUCCGGAAAGAGGGUUUCCAAACUGAGCGCACGUGGAUACGCGUCGUGCAGUUCGCACAGGAUAUCGGAGCAACCCUGCUCCGUUUUCCCAAAUUACGCCAAUAACCUGUCCGAUAUAAUGUCUGACUUCGUCGAAUUAAUUAGCCAGAGCAACAACGCCUGGGAACGGUAACUCGACCAGGGAGGUGCAUAGAAUCGCGAUCGAAUUAGCAACGCCGAUACCCGUUCGCUCGUUGAAUAAUGCACGAGUUGACAUUCCGUUCAAUAACAAACGUCCGUUAUUCCAUCGUUACUCCCGUCGAGUUUGCUUAUUUUAACCAAAAGUGCCUUUUUCAUGUUCCGAAUCCCGUGAGAGAGAACCAGCACGUGCGCCAUUCGCGUCUUGCAUAAUCGAAUUGAAAUCGACAGAUCGCAGACACCCCCGGUGACAAAGGGGUUGCAACGAGCACGCCCUCUUGACACAAUGUCCUGGAUUACUCGGGGAAAUUUAUGUUUUCCCGUGACACAACUCUCAGUGUGGCUGGGACGAUAAGUUUCUUAAACGCGUGCCAUUUACCGGCUUAUCAUAUUUGUACCAAUCCCAGAACUAAGCCUGACAAACGAGACAACACAGGCUUCUCGUUUCUAUUCCGGGCAUCGUUUUAUUAUUACGAAUGUAUACGCAACAAAUUUUCGUACGAACACGUGUCUAUUAAUUAAUUAAUUAAAUGAAGCAUGGCAACUGUAGGUCAAAGGUUAAUCAAUCAGUAAUUUGACGGAAGAAACACUUCCAGUGGAGCAAACGGCAACCCUAUGUAUGUUUCGCGGACGAUGCAAUAUUAAUAACUACGCUGCACGCGUCGGUUCGUUUGGUAAAUUAUAGAUACACUGCCGUAACACGGGCAUCAUCGAAAUUUUCGCUGCAAUGGGAACCGGUAAUAAAAUAGAUUGACAUUAUGUAACCCCGUAAUGAACCGACGCGUUGUUAAUUACAGCCUGACGCGAGCUGGACCUCGCUAAUAUUCGUCCAACCUGACACGCAACGAUUUCAUUUUCGUUCAUUCACUAUUCACGAUUCGCGUUCCGUCCAAUGAAAGAUUAUCUUUGCUUCUGUUCAAUUUCAAAAUUUCCUUAAUUUUUCUACAUAUCUUAGAAAUUAUAAUUAUACUCUCGCAUAUCUAUAAAGCAAGCAUCGUUGUGUCUGUUGGAAUACAGUUUGAUACUUUGAUGCAUUUUAUCAAGCUGGCUGAAAAAUCGCCAUUUUUUAAUAUCCUCCUCAAGUCGCUUAUGAAGCGGAGCGAACAUAGUUGCGAUUGAAACCGUAAAUCCUCUUCUUUGUGUCUACACCGGCGAACGACGUUGGCUGAUGACGGCUAACAAAUACUUGGACAGUAAAGGUUCUCCACGGGAGCUACGAACCUCGAAAUUAGCUACUUUCAACCAUCUUCCAGCCGAGACGAAUGGCGUACUAUAGCGAGCUAGACAGCCGGACUAAUACCGUACGCUUUACCGUCCUUGUGAUACCCGUCCUAAUGGAAACCUAGGACACCCGGAAUCCUGGCUUCGUCUAAUUUAUUUGUCGAUGGUCCGGUGACUCCACGGUUGGACAAGUGUUCGUUUAAACUGCCAGAAUUGCUUGCAGGAAAACGUGGAAGAAAGUUGUUCGUCGCGUUCGUCGAGAUUCUUCGAAAAGAGUAGAAGAAAAAUGAAAAUUAAGACUUUCGAGGAACUUUCAAAGAUCCAGGAAAGUCUCCGAUAGACUUUUACGAAAAAAUCGUGGAUUUAUCUGGGACGUGGUUGAAUCAUACCCUCGAGGAAGUUGAUACGUCAAUCAUUUCGUUUCGCAACGUCAGUUACCCUUCGUUUUCUACGUCAGUCCUGACAGUGGCUGAUUUAUUCCUCGUAACCGGCAGAUGUCCUCGAUUCCCUUAACGCGGUCAGCUGUGAUACCGGGUCCUCCUCCUCUGGUGGUCAGACGAUGACGCCGUUGGAUCAUUCGCGGCCAACGUGAUUGAUAAGGGGUACUGGCUGAUAAACACGAGCGUUAAGCGUGCACCAGCGGCCGCGAUAAAUCAAGAAAUGUUUUCGAGAGGCGCGGCUAACGCCGUGGAUAUCGGUGUUUUCGCUUGUUCCUGUUUUCUACAAGGUUUUAUUGGCCGAACUACGUGGCGCGGUGCUUUCCGACGUAUCUGCUGAAAAAUGGGGGUGUUUGUCGUGUAAUAUCGUUGAAUUGCACGGUCGGAGCUUUUUUGCUUUCAAAGCCGCUCUUUCGAAGUUUAAUACCCUUCGAAUUGCUUUCAUUACUGUUGGAAAUCAUUUUUGAAGAAUUAUAAAUAUUCAGCGGUGAUAGAUUAAUAACCUAAGAAGUUUAAAAUUUAGGAAGAGAAAAUGAAAUAGAAUUAAACAUUUUUGAAACGUUUCAUUUCUUUGUUCAUUUUCGUUCGUUCUUCCAGUCAAUAUCGUCGAUUUGAUUCGCUUCGAUCAUUCCGUUGUACUCGAAGCGUGACACACGUUUGGCAUGGCAGGUGACGGGCCAAUUGUUUCGUCGGUGAAGGGUUUUUCCAGAGGAAAAAAAGGUCGCCGGUGUUUUCAUUAAAUUGUCGCCUGUUUCGGCUCGACAAAAAUUGAACUCUUCGGCCAGCUGUUCGGCCCGUGUAACACGCGCGAAACAAUACGCGUUAAUCGAACGGCUAAUAAAAAAGUGUGCCACGAGCAAAAUCGUUUUCAUUUCAUGCGCUAAUAAAAUUCUUGCUUAUAUUUUAUGUGUUAACGUAUCGAAUUAUCGUCUACCGAAAAUUCAAUCGAUAUCGUUUCGUUAAUAAAUAUUCCAAUAUUCUAAACAAAGAUAGUAAUAAAAAAUAACUCAAAAAUUCUUUGAUACUUCCUAGGAUGAAAUCAAGAUCCCUACGACGCCUUUAAUUCAAAUUAAUGUAAAUCUCAAUGAGAUACAUCGAAUUUACUUGGAGGGCAAUUUUCAGGAGGGUUUCGGGGCUUUAAUCUUUCUUAAUGGAACAAGGGGUUUCUAGCCAAUAAAGGCAACCGAAUCGACGUACCAUUUUUACAGUGACUCAUUUCUCAUUUACGCUCCAUUGCAUGUUUCUUCCUUCACAACUAUAGUCACUAUUGAUAAGAAAGGGUUAAUGAGAAAAAGAAAAUACUAUGACAGAAAAAUAAUAAGGUAUUGUAAUAGAGUGUACGAGUGUGCGUUAAUACACCCCUACAUCUAUAACAAAAACUUCUUUCCCAUAAGACAAAAGAUCGUAACGUCUUCGUUAUCUCUUUCACUGUACCACCGGAAACGGUAACUCAAACGAGCUGCAACCUCGACAGCAUAAGCAACGUGCAUGUCUGUUAGAACAGGAACUUUCGCAUGGACAAAGAACAACAUGCAUACGCGCGCGUAUCGAGACUAUUUGCGUCUAGAAGCAAUGUUUUUUCCUUUUCUUUUUUUCCUGUUCCGUAUGGGCGUCGAUAAACGGAACGGGAGUACAGGAAGCUGGCUGGAUCGAAAGCAAGCCCCCUCCAGGCAUGUAGUUAAUCCGGGAUAAAGGUGGUACAUAGCUACGCCAGAAGCACGAUACGCUGGUUGAAGAUGCAUCCAAUGCAUAGCGCGUAUCCCACGGAUUUAUCGACUUACACGCUAACGGAGAAUCCAUCUCGUUCGUCCGAUCAGACGCGGUUCUAUGGCCGAACGGAUCAGGCGUCGAAGAAACGACAGACAGGUCGCAUCGGAUGCACCUGCAUUAUAUUAAUUAAACGCACUGUCCCGUUUGUAUUUGCAAAGACUGGGAUGUUUUAUUCUUUUGUCUGGCAGUCCAUUAUGAUUAUUAAAAAUAAAGGUGGUUUUAAUUAAUAGUAAGUGGCUCGAUAUUAAAAAUAAAAAAAUCAUAGAGUGAGGGAGGAGUUAGCAAAUGGAAAAAUUUGGGUGUCGCGAGUCCUAGAGCCUAAGUACCGUGCGUAUCUACCUGUAUAGGGGACCAUGGUAUGAGAAACGAGUUGACGGAACGAAAAGUUUCUAAAUCCCUCUAUAUGUCGACCAUCAUUAAUAACAUAAAAGGUAUAGUACAACGGUAUUACAGUCAAAGUAUAGUUUCAUUCCUAUGUGAUCUGUAAUGGACUGUAGGAGUCUUUGAUAAUGAUGUUUAUUGAAUCAUGAAUGCGUUACUUUAUUAAAUGAGGGCUUUUGUUCAGAGACAAUGCAUAAUGAGGAAAACGUAGGCACCGGGUAAUGUACUUAGUUAAUUGAAAUUGUUGAGCUCGUUACAGGCUAAUUGAACAAGAGUAAAAUAUCUGUUACUAAAUGUAACGAAUGAUAAAAUUUGCAAACGAGCUUCCUUAAAAAAUUUAUAUUAUUCUUCACCAGUAUACAAACUUAAUAUAGAAAGGAAAUAGAGUGUAAAACUUGAAAAUCUAUUGUAUAAUGUCAAUAAAUUCGAUGGAAGAUAACGUGCAUCCUUCCAGCUAUUUAUUACUGAAUUCUCACAAUGGUUACAUCCGAUCGUGACCGCAACGUUGAGAGUGAUACGUAAAAAGGGCUACAUUUUCGUGAAUAAGAAAAAAGAAGCAAGGACGAAUGUGUAGUAGCGAAGAUUUGUGGCCCAGUCAACGAUAUUUAUUACUGGCCCGUGGGUCAUCUGUAAACAUUAAAUAACCAGCUGCAUCGCGUGCAGCAUACUAUUCUAUUGCACUCCUUGGAUGGUUCACGCGUGAACUUCAAUUUCCUUUAAGCAACAGAACGACUGAGAAUUUGUCAGAAUGAAAUAUCUAAAUCCCAGUGUAUAUUAAAAUAUCUUCUUAGAACUAAUGCGCCAUUAGUUUUUCGAUACUAUGCAUCUAACUUCUUCACGUUUUACAAAUGGCAACUUUGUCUUUCAUUUUC